rnacentral:rRNA from 1 species
UAGGGAAUCUUCCGCAAUGGGCGAAAGCCUGACGGAGCAACGCCGCGUGAGUGAUGAAGGUAUUCGGAUCGUAAAACUCUGUUAUUAGGGAAGAACAAAUGUGUAAGGAACUAUGCACGUCGUGACGGGACCUAAUCAGAAAGCCACGGCUAACUACGUGCCAGCAGCCGCGGUAAUACGUAGGUGGCAAGCGUUAUCCGGAAUUAUUGGGCGUAAAGCGCGCGUAGGCGGUUUUUUAAGUCUGAUGUGAAAGCCCACGGCUCAACCGUGGAGGGUCAUUGGAAACUGGAAAACUUGAGUGCAGAAGAGGAAAGUGGAAUUCCAUGUGUAGCGGUGAAAUGCGCAGAGAUAUGGAGGAACACCAGUGGCGAAGGCGACUUUCUGGUCUGUAACUGACGCUGAUGUGCGAAAGCGUGGGGAUUAAACAGG